GAGAGAGCUUGCUUUCUCGAGCGAGUGGCGAACGGGUGAGUAACGCGUGAGGAACCUGCCUCAAAGAGGGGGACAACAGUUGGAAACGACUGCUAAUACCGCAUAAGCCCACGGGUCGGCAUCGACCAGAGGGAAAAGGAGCAAUCCGCUUUGAGAUGGCCUCGCGUCCGAUUAGCUAGUUGGUGAGGUAACGGCCCACCAAGGCGACGAUCGGUAGCCGGACUGAGAGGUUGAACGGCCACAUUGGGACUGAGACACGGCCCAGACUCCUACGGGAGGCAGCAGUGGGGAAUAUUGCACAAUGGGGGAAACCCUGAUGCAGCGACGCCGCGUGGAGGAAGAAGGUCUUCGGAUUGUAAACUCCUGUUGUUGGGGAAGAUAAUGACGGUACCCAACAAGGAAGUGACGGCUAACUACGUGCCAGCAGCCGCGGUAAAACGUAGGUCACAAGCGUUGUCCGGAAUUACUGGGUGUAAAGGGAGCGCAGGCGGGAAGACAAGUUGGAAGUGAAAUCUAUGGGCUCAACCCAUAAACUGCUUUCAAAACUGUUUUUCUUGAGUAGUGCAGAGGUAGGCGGAAUUCCCGGUGUAGCGGUGGAAUGCGUAGAUAUCGGGAGGAACACCAGUGGCGAAGGCGGCCUACUGGGCACCAACUGACGCUGAGG
rnacentral:rRNA from 1 species